rnacentral:rRNA from 1 species
UACGGAGGGGGCUAGCGUUGUUCGGAAUCACUGGGCGUAAAGGGUGCGUAGGCGGGUCUUUAAGUCAGAGGUGAAAUCCUGGAGCUCAACUCCAGAACUGCCCUUGAUACUGAGGAUCUUGAGUUCGGGAGAGGUGAGUGGAACUGCGAGUGUAGAGGUGAAAUUCGUAGAUAUUCGGAAGAACACCAGUGGCGAAGGCGACUCACUGGCCCGUUACUGACGCUGAGGCUCGAAAGCGUGGGGAGCAAACAGG